UACGGAGGGUGCAAGCGUUGUUCGGAAUCACUGGGCGUAAAGCGCACGUAGGCGGAUCUGUAAGUCGGAUGUGAAAGCCCCGGGCUUAACCUGGGAAUUGCAUUCGAAACUGCAGACCUUGAAUGCCUGAGAGGAUGACGGAAUUCCUGGUGUAGAAGUGAAAUUCGUAGAUAUCAGGAGGAACACCGGAGGCGAAGGCGGUUAUCUGGCGGUGCAUUGACGCUGAGGUGCGAAAGCGUGGGGAGCAAACAGG
rnacentral:rRNA from 1 species